UUCCGCUCCCUCCACGCCAGGGCCAGGCAUGUCGUCUCCGGGGCCGGCGCAGAGGCCCUGCUCGUGUCGGAGAUCCGCACUCCGGGCAAACCCCUCGAGGCGACUGUCUUCAUGGCCUCCUCCGGGAAGGCUAUGUGCCGCCUCCCCCACCUUGCCAGCGGAUACAACCUCGUCAACGCCUGCAAUGGCUUCCUCCUCCUUGCGUGCGGCGCCAAGAAUUCUCCCGUGUUCGUGUGCAACCCGGUCACCGGCGAGAAGCUGGAGAUCCCGCCGCCGCCUGACACGACCUUCACCCACUGGCGCAUGUACGCCAUGGGGUUUAGCCCGUCUACCCAGCAAUACAAGCUUUUCCGGUUCUCCUACACGGCUGAGCCCGAGGUCAUCCACUUGGACGUGUGUACCUUAGGCGACGGCCGCGGGUGGCGCCCGCACCCGUACCUUAUCCGCUGCAGCGCAGUAUAUGGCCUCUACUCGUCGCCGCGCGUGCUCGUGGACGGCAGGCUGUUUUGGGUGGUGCAACGUUCAGGGCGUGUCUUGGGGCCGCCCGACAGGAUACUUGUGAUUGACGUGGCAAGCGAGACACAUGGCACAUACUGCCUCCCGGAUAAGCAUACACAGGGGAAGGGCGCGGUGGUGCACACCUUGGAGCUGCGUGGGCGGCUUUGUGUCGUCGUGCAUGUCGGAGAUCAACUUCAUUUUCGGAUCAUGCAUCGGUUAGGUCCACGGCUCCACGGCAUGGACCACGAGUGGUAUCCUAUGUGGAAAUUGCGUUACACGUUUUCCAUGGAUGUAUAUGGCAAUGACCAGGCGAGUGGCGCCUGGUUUAACGACGCCGACGGGUUGUUGUGCUACGGGUUGAACGAUCGUCUCUACAUGUACGACACAACCAAGAAUAAGAAGAAGCCACAGCAAGCUUGUGUACGGGACAACCAAUUUUUCAUGCCGGCUACUCAAUUGUUGGGCGAUGACCUGCGUUGGAAUGUGUACGGCGGUUACCGUCCCAGCCUAGUCUCGCCCCAUCUUGCCUUUGAGCCCAAGUCCACGGGCUCCCUUCAGCACUAUGAUGUGCAGGAACACUUUGAGCAUUCCUUAUUACAUACGGUGGGGUGCCAAAAAACAUCCAAAAAA
rnacentral:rRNA from 1 species